rnacentral:rRNA from 1 species
AUUGAACGCUAGCGGGAUGCUUUACACAUGCAAGUCGAACGGCAGCGCGGACUUCGGUCUGGCGGCGAGUGGCGAACGGGUGAGUAAUGUAUCGGAACGUGCCCAGUAGCGGGGGAUAACUACGCGAAAUCGUAGCUAAUACCGCAUACGCCCUACGGGGGAAAGCAGGGGAUCGUAAGACCUUGCACUAUUGGAGCGGCCGAUAUCGGAUUAGCUAGUUGGCGAGGUAACGGCUCACCAAGGCGACGAUCCGUAGCUGGUUUGAGAGGACGACCAGCCACACUGGGACUGAGACACGGCCCAGACUCCUACGGGAGGCAGCAGUGGGGAAUUUUGGACGAUGGGGGCAAGCCUGAUCCAGCCAUCCCGCGUGUGCGAUGAAGGACUUCGGGUUGUAAAGCACUUUUGGCAGGAAAGAAACGUCGCGGGCUAAUACCCCGUGGAACUGACGGUACCUGCAGAAUAAGCACCGGCUAACUACGUG